AUUGAACGCUGGCGGAAUGCUUUACACAUGCAAGUCGAACGGCAGCACGGACUUCGGUCUGGUGGCGAGUGGCGAACGGGUGAGUAAUGUAUCGGAACGUGCCCAGUCGUGGGGGAUAACGUAGUGAAAAUUACGCUAAUACCGCAUACGAUCUAUGGAUGAAAGCGGGGGAUCGCAAGACCUCGCGCGAUUGGAGCGGCCGAUAUCAGAUUAGGUAGUUGGUGGGGUAAAGGCCCACCAAGCCAACGAUCUGUAGCUGGUCUGAGAGGACGACCAGCCACACUGGAACUGAGACACGGUCCAGACUCCUACGGGAGGCAGCAGUGGGGAAUUUUGGACGAUGGGCGAAAGCCUGAUCCAGCCAUUCCGCGUGCAGGACGAAGGCCCUCGGGUUGUAAACUGCUUUUGUACAGAACGAAAAGGUUUCUACUAAUACUAGGAGCUCAUGACGGUACUGUAAGAAUAAGCACCGGCUAACUACGUGCCAGCAGCCGCCGCGG
rnacentral:rRNA from 1 species